rnacentral:rRNA from 1 species
GACGAACGCUGGCGGCGUGCCUAAUACAUGCAAGUCGAGCGGUAAGGCCUCUUCGGAGGUACACGAGCGGCGGACGGCUGAGUAACGCGUAGGAACGUACCCCAAAGUGAGGGAUAACUGCUCGAAAGAGUAGCUAAUACCGUAUGUGCUCUCAGGAGUAAAGCUUUAUGCGCUUUGGGAACGGCCUGCGUAAGAUUAGCUUGUUGGUAAGGUAAUGGCUUACCAAGGCGACGAUCUUUAGCUGGUCUGAGAGGAUGAUCAGCCACACUGGGACUGAGACACGGCCCAGACUCCUACGGGAGGCAGCAGUGGGGAAUAUUGGACAAUGGGCGAAAGCCUGAUCCAGCAAUGCCGCGUGAGUGAUGAAGGCCUUCGGGUUGUAAAGCUCUGUCGGGAGGGACGAACGGUGCCGGGUAACUCCGGUAAUUGACGGUACCUCCAAAGGAAGCACCGGCUAACUCUGUGCCAGCCGCCGCUGUAACAC